UUCUGAGUCCUCCCUUUUUUACAUUCCAAAGUUUUGUGAAGGAGGUGAGCUGAGCUGAGCCAGGCAAGAAAAAAGAAGUUUCUGAGACUUGAGAAUAUGCGCAGUUUCUUCUUCUCUCCUUCUCUAUGUCUCUCCUGGAGCUGCCGGCAGCUUUCUCUGCUUUCUGUCUCAGUCCUCAACCCACAAGAGAAGCCUAACCAGUAACAAGGAAUACAGAGUUUUUCUCAUCCCCCCUAUGGAACAGUGAUCACCGAGCAGGGUGACAACUGUCUGAGCAACUGCUGCAAAAGUGUCUGUACGUCUACACAGACACACACACACACAGAGACUAAAAUUGAAUGAGCCAGAUCUCUUGGAGCAGUGCGCCCCUCUGAGCUGCACUGUGGAAAGCGACUGCUGAAAAAAUCUGGAAUGGAGCAGCACUCUCUGACAAUCCCCUAUACUUCAGUGAUCACAUGAAGACCCCUCUAAACUGUAUGUUCAUCUUGAGAAGACAUGAGAGUGCAACCAAGGAAGCCGUAUCUGCUUAUGUGCAUAAACAAAGAAAAAAGAAAAAGACAGAUGCCCUCCAUUCUGGACGCAAAGCAAGCAAAUCCUCGAUUCUGCAUUCGUAUAAUGAACUGGAGGCGGGAGAGCACCUGCUGCAAGAUUAAUUGAGAUUCCCGGCUUUUGCUUCAUGUUGCCGUAGAUACAACCAGUGUAAGAAAGUUUCAAGAUGGCAUCAAGUUAGCAAGUGUAACCCCCAAUGAGGAGUACUCAGGCAUUUAUGCUUUUGAGAAGAUCUCCGCAACAACACCUACUUUGUAGACCAGAUUCCUUCAAUUGAUGGAGCAAACCGGGCCGUGAGGACUUUUGAUAUAUCUGUACUUCCAGAAGAAGGGGAUUCUCCUGUUUUUAUUGGGAAUGAUAAGCCCGACAUAGAAAUUGAAAGGGUUUUGAAUAUGCCGGAUCGUGAUAGACCUUCUAAAACGCAAGGCAGUCAAAGCCCCCUGGUGAUAGGAAAAUUGUUUUGAAUUUGGUCUGUUGUUUCUUGUAUCAACAGUGUCUAAAAGUUGUGUAUGUGCCCUGGAUCCGUGCUGCAUCUGCCUGUAACGUGAAGAGGGUUUUAUCAUGUCCACUUGUAGAUUAAAAUAGGAAACCCAAGAUGAAAAUUGCAUUAUCUUUCCUCUGGAGUAAUAAUGCUUACAGCACUGGGCCCACGUUAGCUGCAGGGUACAAAUUUACAUCUCAAUCCCUGGCACUAAGAUGCAAUAGGAUGGAAGGAUAUUAUUUCCAAAUAAUGUCUGAGCUCUCUGUGUAAUGCUGAUCUCUAGCCAUGAUAUUAAUGUCAAUAUUUUGAAUGCCAAUUGUCUCAAAAGCAGAGUGUUUGCAGUGUCCACUAUGGAGGAAGAAACCCACAGACUGAAGUUGGACUUUUCCUAGUCCCUGAGACCCUAACUUGUGAGGAUUUUUGAGAAACAAUCACAAGUUAGGCUCUUGGGACCUAGGCGGAGGGGAAACAGCAGCUUUGGACUGUAUUUGUGAUCUGCACCGGAUAAAACCCUGCAACCGUUUCUGAGAUCUUGUUCUAAAAGGUCUGUGAUUAUUUUAAAACAAGGUGUUCUCAUUGCGCAAUGAUAAUAAUAAUACCUUGGUAUAUAUAUCUCUCUGUAUAAAGCUGUAUUAUCUGUGCUUCCAAAACCUAAUGCAGAUAUUCUAAAGGUAAAAUGCAAAACAAUGGCAGAUAGAAUUCUUGGUCUGGCUAUUGUCUGGGAGAGCUGUCAGCAGGUGAAUAAUACAGCUGCUUAGCCUUUUCUUUUGCAGUUUUCGUAAUAAGCAAUUAAAGUUAUCGAAACAUCCUUAAACGGUUUAUUUAUACAGAUUACAAUGCAAGACUAACAUAAUGAAUGUCAAUGAAGAAUGCACUUUAUUUUAUUAUAUUAUUCUUGCUGGCCUGAAUAAUGCCAAUAAAAAUGUUCAUUCCAUAUUCUAUCUAUUCUAUUCUAAAUUAUUGUAGAGCCAAAUCGACUUGGGUAAAGCUUAAAGCACUUGGAAAUGAAACCUAUAUUUGCAGCCAACGCCCUUGAAUAAAUGGCCAUCGUUUUUAAUAAUCCCCACAUAGGUUUUGUCUGUCGUUAUAUAUAUAAUAAACUAUAUCAGGAUGCAGAGAAAUGUGUAAGUUAAUAUGUUUUAGUUUUUAAAAUGUGGUUGGGCUGUAUGGCAGCAUACCUGCUUCAUAUUAUGUUAUAUAUUUAUCUGUAUUUAUAAAUAAAACACUCAAGGAGCUGAGGAAUUCUGGAAAAGUUAUUUCUAAAUAAAUCAAACCUUUAAUGUGUACAUUGAGCACAGUAAGGACGUAUAUUGCGCUCAUUGCCUUUGUUGCCAGAAUCCGUGUCCGAAUCUUCACCUCUGUCUAUAAAUGUAUUAUUAUUGGGAUCUAAAGAAAGAGACCUGUUAUAAUGUAAUGUCCAAUAUUUUUGUUUUUCUCCCCAAUAUGUGAUUCUAGAUAAUCAGAUCAUGCUAUAGCUUAAAAAAAAAAAUCCUAUCGCUACAGAAUGUCAGGGAAGGAGGGGGGGGAGCAAUGGAAGGGGAAUCAUGUGCCGUGCAUACAAAAAAGGAGGGAUGUUAACAAUUCGAUAAAUUCCUGGCUGGUAGACCAGACUGAGCCAGACGCAUACAUUAACUGCUGUCUGCUGCUGAUGUGAGUCUGCUCAAUGCGCUGGAAAUGAAGGCUCACCUAAGCCCUGACACUGGCUGAUUUGUAUAUUUUCAAAAAGACCAAGAAUCUUUUUAAGGUGAAGAUUCUGGUAAUGUUUUUGGUUUGCCAGAAUUCUAAUAGCUAUUUAUUAUUCAAUCAACCGUUCCAAGCCUAUUAGGGAUCCGACUAGUAUCCGAAAAUUACAACUGUGUGUGUGUGUGUCCUUCCUUUCUUCCACGUCUAAAGGAUUUCUUUUACAGGGAAUGGCUUGUCUUCAAAUAACAAAGGAUAAUUUAAUCCCUUAAUAAACUCAAUUAGGAAUUA